AGCCUUGCCUCAGGUCCCCGACGAAUCCUGCCCUUAAUCUGUGGGGGUGGUAGGUGGCACUGGUUUGAAGAGCUUACUGGAUCUCCCUCAGUGCUGGGCUCCCCUGUGGGCCUCGUCUGCCCGCCCUCUGCUGCAGCUGUCCCAUGGGCGCCCGCCCUCUCUGACACCACAAGAGAGCCCAUCUAGAUUCCAGGAAAAAACUCAUCUUUAUUUGCCUUCUUCCCACUGAAGAACAGGCCUGAGGGAGAGGGAAAAGCGGAUACCCACCUGUGUCGCUGUUUGCGUGCCAAGUCCAGGAACAGUCCAUACAGCCCUG
ensembl:lncRNA SFTA3 surfactant associated 3